AGUCGUAACAAGGUUUCCGUAGGUGAACCUGCGGAAGGAUCAUUAACAAAUCUGACGGUUGGUCGGUGCUGGUGGCUCCGCCAUUGGUGCUGGAUCGAUCACAUUGACUCGGGCUUGGCUGGCUGUGGCCGGCUUUGGGGUGUGAGGCAGGCGGGGGGCGGGCUGGUGGGCGGCCGAUGUCGCUCGCCCGCUGCUGCUCUGCCUUUUUGCUGCACCCCGUGCUGUGCUGUGCCAUGCCGAGCCAGAGACAUUCACGCUUGUAGAGUUUGACUGUGAGCGAGGUUGGAAUGUGAUGUACCAUGACAACUUUUAACAAUGGAUCUCUUGGCUCUU
rnacentral:misc_RNA from 1 species